rnacentral:sRNA from 1 species
AAUCUCAUCUUCACCAGUUUCUUCUUCUUCUUCUUCUCCUU